rnacentral:rRNA from 1 species
UACGGGGGGGGCAAGCGUUGUUCGGAAUUACUGGGCGUAAAGGGCUCGUAGGUGGCCAACUAAGUCAGACGUGAAAUCCCUCGGCUUAACCGGGGAACUGCGUCUGAUACUGGAUGGCUUGAGUUCGGGAGAGGGAUGCGGAAUUCCAGGUGUAGCGGUGAAAUGCGUAGAUAUCUGGAGGAACACCGGUGGCGAAGGCGACUCACUGGCCCGAUACUGACGCUGAGGCGCGAAAGCGUGGGGAGCAAACAGG